rnacentral:hammerhead_ribozyme from 1 species
CUCCAGCCGACGAGUCCCAAAUAGAACAAAACGAGUGUUCUGGAU